AGAACACCAGCAGAGCACUAUUAGAGGGGAGAAAACUCUGCUGGGGGGGGGUAAGGUAAGGAAGAUGGAGUUGGUGAGGUGAAAGAAGCACAGGAAGUUAAAUGUUCAGUGGAACCUUGAAGGAAAUUGUCAACUGCUCUGAUCUGGCAAUUGAUUUGGUCCUCAGCCCAAAGGACUACUACAGCCAGUUUCCAUGGAAACUACAGGGGAUGUGAAGGAACACAAAACAGAGAUGGCCUC